AUGCCGGGCUGCCGAGAGAAAGGACCAGAAUGGAGGCCUGGCCCAUCUUUGCUGCAGGAUGCCACCAUGACAUUGAAGAGGACACCAGGAUUCGAAGAAAGGCUUGGCCUUGGACAGAAGCAUUGGAUAAACGUUGGAGGGCCAUCAGCAAGAGAAACACCUGAGCUCUACUCCACUGGGCAAGAAUCCCAAGGGCCCCCAUUCUGCAGCUGGGACAACGGAGACCCCGAGAAGGGAGGUCAUUUCAUCCUGAGCUCAUUUAGUGGAUUUGUGGAUGGCCAGAUGGAGACAGUUCCAGCCUGGUCAUCUCAGAGCCUCUCCUCCAAGUUCCCACAGACUCAUGCUCUCUCUCUCUCUCUCUCUCUCUCUCUCUCUCACACACACACACACACGCAGACACACACAGACACACACACACCCCCCUCGCGUUCUUGUUCCAUCUGCCCUCACACACAAAACCACAGUCUGGCUCUUGGCUUCACAGAUCUUAAAGGACCAGAUAGAGGAGAAAAAGGAACUCUUUUUCCUGAACUUAAUAUAGGUCAUUUUGGUGCUGCCAUUUUCAAACAACGGGAUGGUCUUGGUGUUGCUUGGAAUAGAACACGCUCUGCAUUUCCACAGGACCUCAGAAUGUGUCUGUAACUUCUAUGAGCCUCAUGGUUUCCCCUUUAACAGAUGAAGUACUGCAGCCUGAAAAGAAAAAUGACUUCCCGUUGGUCACACAGACUGUACUCGGCAAAGUGCAGCUUAGAGCAGUCUGCUGACCCCUACUUUUGUCUCUUUUUCCAAUGCAGGACUAGACUCUGGAUUCGGAUCCCAGCUCUGCUGCAAACGAGCUGUGUGAUCUGGGACACUGCUUUCAUAAAUGCACUGCCCCCCCAAGCAUCCUCACUCUAGAAGCACUGUCUCUCAGGAGGCCCUAGGCCAGGGCCAGGGGCCACUGGGAUGAGGAAUCCCGCUCUCUGCCCACAAGGCAGGGACGCAUUCAGAGCCCAGCAAGGGUGCAGACUGGGCUGCCUCACGUCAUCGGGGAAGAGUGCAGGAAGCCAAGGCCUCUCUCAGGGGAUCCAGAGAGUCCCAAGAGAAGUCUGGUUAGGGAAUUUCCACCCACAAGUUGGUCUCCUUUUAAGAAGGCACCACAACAAAAUGUCUGGACUCAAAAGCACAAAGAUUAGGGGUCUUUAUACACUUUAUACAAAGAUUCUUUAUUCCACAGUUCUUAAAAAAACACACACAAAAAACUCCUUUCUCCAAUUCCCACCUCUGGCUUGCUUGAAAUACAGUUCAUUUGCAAAUUGUUAGGAACACAUUUAUACAGUCAAGCAGGAGUUGGGCUAUUUGCCCUGACUACUGGUCUCAGCAACAUUGCAAAACCAGCAAGCUACUCUCAUCUCUGACUCUUGGUUUUUCCCACCUUGGACUGUUGAGGGGUUACUGGUGCCGGGGCUGGAGGAUGUUUUAUUUAUGGAACACCUACUGUGUGCUAUAGUUAACACUCCAGGGGAGGCUCAGUGCUGGGAUUUCCAUCAGGGCCUCUGAGCAUAAAGCCAGGGCUCUCUCCUCGCCUUGCUCAGCCCCUCUCUUGACUAGGUCACGCUGCUCACUGCAAAUUGGGGGCACAGAGAGCUGUAGUCUGCGAAAUGGGUAGAUCAAAGGGGUCAAAGGUUAGUGGAGGGCGUCAAGACCAUUAGGAGAGAAAGGAGACACCCUCUCUUGAGGAGGAGAGGAGCUCACCGUCUCCCCACCCAAACGGGGUUGGACAUCCCUUCCGCCCAGUGGCACCGGAGAGGGGACCCUGCGGUCAGGUACGGGGAGUCGAGGGGACCAGGAAAGCGGCUCCGGCCCGGCACUCUGAGGGGAGCCCCGGCGGCUGGCUCCGCGUGGCACUUCCGAUCCGGCUGGGCCGCACGCCGCUGCACUCCCCGGCCCCGCGCUCCGCCCCGGCCGCGCGGCGCCCCCUGUCCGACCCGCGCCCGGNNNNNNNNNNNNNNNNGUCCGGGGCGCGGCUCCAGCAUCGCCGGCAGCCCGGAGCCGGGGGCUCGGGCGCCCUCCGGC
rnacentral:lncRNA from 1 species